rnacentral:tRNA from 1 species
ACUAUUUUGACAGAAAAAAUGUAAUGAUUUUAGAAGUCAUAAAUGUAUAUUUUAUAUACAUAUAGUA